CCUACGGGUGGCUGCAGUGGGGAAUAUUGAACAAUGGGGGGAACCCUGAUCCAGCCAUGCCGCGUGUGUGAAGAAGGCCCUCGGGUUGUAAAGCACUUUCAGUGAGGAAGAACGCCUGGUGGUUAAUACCCAUCAGGAAAGACAUCACUCACAGAAGAAGCACCGGCUAACUCCGUGCCAGCAGCCGCGGUAAUACGGAGGGUGCGAGCGUUAAUCGGAAUUACUGGGCGUAAAGCGCGCGUAGGUGGCUUGAUAAGCCGGUUGUGAAAGCCCCGGGCUCAACCUGGGAACGGCAUCCGGAACUGUCAAGCUAGAGUGCAGGAGAGGAAGGUAGAAUUCCCGGUGUAGCGGUGAAAUGCGUAGAGAUCGGGAGGAAUACCAGUGGCGAAGGCGGCCUUCUGGACUGACACUGACACUGAGGUGCGAAAGCGUGGGUAGCAAACAGGAUUAGAUACCCGAGUAGUC
rnacentral:rRNA from 1 species